UAGAGACUUCGGUCAAUUGAAACUUUGACUUAGUGGCGGACGGGUGAGUAACGCGUGAGGAACCUGCCUUUCAGUGGGGGACAACAGUUGGAAACGACUGCUAAUACCGCAUGAUGUGCCGAGGGGGCAUCCCUUUGGCACCAAAGAUUUAUCGCUGUGGGAUGGGCUCAUGUCUGAUUAGUUAGUUGGUGGGGUAACGGCUCACCAAGACUGCGAUCAGUAGCCGGACUGAGAGGUUGAACGGCCACAUUGGGACUGAGAUACGGCCCAAACUCC
rnacentral:rRNA from 1 species